AGUCUGGUGCCAGCAGCCGCGGUAAUUCCAGCUCCAAUAGCGUAUAUUAAAGUUGUUGCAGUUAAAAAGCUCGUAGUUGGAUCUGGGGUUCGGGUCGGCGGUUUGCCGCUUCGGCGGCUACUGCCGUGCUCGACUCUUACUAGCCGGUGCGUCUUGCGGUGCUCUUCAUCGAGUGCCGUAGGAGCCUGGCAUGUUUACUUUGAAAAAAUUAGAGUGCUCAAAGCAGGCGAUUCCGCCUGAAUAGUGUUGCAUGGAAUAAUGGAAUAGGACCUCGGUUCUAUUUUGUUGGUUUUCGGAACUUGAGGUAAUGAUUAAGAGGGACGGUCGGGGGCAUUCGUAUUUCGGUGUUAGAGGUGAAAUUCUUGGAUCGCUGAAAGACGGACAAAUGCGAAAGCAUCUGCCAAGAACGUCUCCAUUAAUCAAGAACGAAAGUCAGAGGUUCGAAGACGAUCAGACACCGUCCUAGUUCUGACCAUAAACGAUGCCAACUAGCGAUCCGCAGUGGUUGCUAUAAACGGACUCUGCGAGCAGCUUCCGGGAAACCAAAGUGUUUGGGUUCCGGGGGAAGUAUGGUUGCAAAGCUGAAACUUAAAGGAAUUGACGGAAGGGCACCACCAGGAGUGGAGCCUGCGGCUUAAUUUGACCCAACACGGGGAAACUCACCCGGUCCGGACACUGUAAGGAUUGACAGAUCGAGAGCUCUUUCUUGAUUCGGUGGAUUGUGGUGCAUGGCCGUUCUUAGUUGGUGGAGUGAUUUGUCUGGUUAAUUCCGAUAACGAACGAGGCUCUAGCCUGCUAACUAGUUGCGCCGUGUUCAUACGCGGCUGUAGACUUCUUAGAGGGACAGGUGGCGUUUAGCCACACGAAAUUGAGCAAUAACAGGUCUGUGAUGCCCUUAGAUGUCCGGGGCCGCACGCGCGCUACACUGAAGGAGUCAGCGUGUGCUAUCCGGGCUCGGAAGAGUUCGGUAACCCGUUGAAACUCCUUCGUGCUUGGGAUUGUGGCUUGUAAUUAUCGCGCAUGAACGAGGAAUUCCCAGUAAGUGCAAGUCAUCAGCUUGCGCUGACUACGUCCCUGCCCUUUGUACACACCGCCCGUCGCUACUACCGAUUGAAUGGUUUAGCAAGGUACUCGGAUUGGUCUCGAUCUUGUACGAAAGUGCGGGAUCUGUGGCCGAGAAGAAGGCCAAACUUGAUCAUUUAGAGGAAGUAAA
rnacentral:rRNA from 1 species